rnacentral:rRNA from 1 species
UACGUAGGGUGCAAGCGUUGUCCGGAAUUAUUGGGCGUAAAGAGCUCGUAGGCGGUGUGUCGCGUCGGCCGUGAAAACCUGCAGCUUAACUGUGGGCGUGCGGUCGAUACGGGCAUCACUGGAGUUUGGCAGGGGAGACUGGAAUUCCUGGUGUAGCGGUGAAAUGCGCAGAUAUCAGGAGGAACACCGGUGGCGAAGGCGGGUCUCUGGGCCGAUACUGACGCUGAGGAGCGAAAGCGUGGGGAGCGAACAGG